GAACGCUUUCGGAAUUAUGGCGGCGGUGGAUAUCCGAGACAAUCUGCUGGGAAUUUCUUGGGUUGACAGCUCUUGGAUCCCUAUUUUGAACAGUGGUAGUGUCCUGGAUUACUUUUCAGAAAGAAGUAAUCCUUUUUAUGACAGAACAUGUAAUAAUGAAGUGGUCAAAAUGCAGAGGCUAACAUUAGAACACUUGAAAUGGUUGGAAUCGAAUACAUCCUUUUGCAUGCUCAAGAGCCCAUUCUUUUCAUCAUUCGGAAGCAACAGCGGCAGUCCCCUGCCCAAGUUAUCCCACUAGCUGAUUACUAUAUCAUUGCUGGAGUGAUCUAUCAGGCACCAGACUUGGGAUCAGUUAUAAACUCUAGAGUGCUUACUGCAGUGCAUGGUAUUCAGUCAGCUUUUGAUGAAGCUAUGUCAUACUGUCGAUAUCAUCCUUCCAAAGGGUAUUGGUGGCACUUCAAAGAUCAUGAAGAGCAAGAUAAAGUCAGACCUAAAGCCAAAAGGAAAGAAGAACCAAGCUCUAUUUUUCAGAGACAACGUGUGGAUGCUUUACUUUUAGACCUCAGACAAAA
rnacentral:sRNA from 1 species